CAGUUGCGAGCUUAACCGAAUAGGGAGGCGUAGCGAAAGCGAGUCUGAUAAGGGCGUCAGAGUAGCUGGGCGUAGACCCGAAACCGGAUGAUCUAUCCAUGGCCAGGAUGAAGGUGCCGUAACAGGUACUGGAGGUCCGAACCCACUAACGUUGAAAAGUUAGGGGAUGAGCUGUGGAUAGGGGUGAAAGGCUAAACAAAUCCGGAAAUAGCUGGUUCUCCCCGAAAACUAUUUAGGUAGUGCGUCGUACGGACACUUGCGGGGUAGAGCACUGUAAUCGUUGGGGGGGUCAUUGCGAUCUACCCCGCGAUAGCAAACUCCGAAUACCGCAAAGUGAUAUACGGCAGACAGACAUCGGGUGCUAACGUCCGGUGUCAAGAGGGAAACAACCCAGACCGCCAGCUAAGGUCCCAAAUGCAUGGCUAAGUGGCAAACGAGGUGGGAAGGCAUAGACAGCUAGGAGGUUGGCUUAGAAGCAGCCACCCUUUAAAGAAAGCGUAAUAGCUCACUAGUCGAGUCGUCCUGCGCGGAAGAUGUAACGGGG
rnacentral:rRNA from 1 species